GGGUUUGUGGUGUAUUCAGCC
rnacentral:siRNA from 1 species